rnacentral:rRNA from 1 species
AUUGAACGCUGGCGGCAGGCUUAACACAUGCAAGUCGAGCGGGGGGAGUUGCUUCGGUAACUAACCUAGCGGCGGACGGGUGAGUAAUGCUUAGGAAUCUGCCUAUUAAUGGGGGACAACAUCUCGAAAGGGAUGCUAAUACCGCAUACGCCCUACGGGGGAAAGCAGGGGAUCUUCGGACCUUGCGUUAAUAGAUGAGCCUAAGUCUGAUUAGCUAGUUGGUGAGGUAAAGGCUCACCAAGGCGACGAUCAGUAGCGGGUCUGAGAGGAUGAUCCGCCACACUGGGACUGAGACACGGCCCAGACUCCUACGGGAGGCAGCAGUGGGGAAUUUUGGACAAUGGGCGCAAGCCUGAUCCAGCCAUGCCGCGUGUCUGAAGAAGGCCUUCGGGUUGUAAAGGACUUUUGUCCGGGAGCAAAUGCCUGGUGUUAAUAGCAUCGGGAGCUGUGAGUACCGGAAGAAUAAGCACCGGCUAACUACGUGCCAGCAGCCGCCGUAACAC